UAUUUUCCAUAGCAAUGUGCUUCCAUCUAAUAAGAUUCAUCCUACAGUGUUUUCAAGUCAACACGACAUAUCGUCUUUCCGCUACAGCUGCUCGUGUAGGACGACCACAGAAGCGGCGCCCUCUGAGAACGCAAGGCAUUCUGCUCGUGUUGGACGACCACAGAAGCGGCGCCCUCUGAGAACGCAAGGCAUUGUGGCAAUUUGCUCCCCUCUGUGUAGGUUCAUCCUACAGUGUUUUGAAGUCAACACGACAUAUCGUCUGUCCGCUACAGCUGCUCGUGUAGGACGACCACAGAAGCGACGCCCUCUGAGAACGCAAGGCAUUAUGGGUAAAUUGGUUCUCGAGUUUUGUUUAUGGCUGUACGGUCAUCAU
rnacentral:lncRNA from 1 species